ACACUUACCUGGCAGAGGAGAUAAGAUGAUCACAAAGGUCUUUUCCCAGAGUGAAGCUUAUUCAUUGCACUCUGGAUUUGCUGCCCCUUCAACUUCCCCAAGGAAGGGAAGCUUGACUGUGUAAUUUGUUGCAGAAGGGUACUGUGUUCUAUACUCCCCAG